rnacentral:lncRNA from 1 species
ACGGUAUAAGAAAAAUUGAGGCACCCCACAUGUAAUCAAAAGAGAAAAAGACAAGAGAAAAUCAAGAGAUUUAAUUGUGAUUUCAAGACUUUAACAUCAUGAGCUCUCUAUAUGAUCUCAAAAAAAAAAAAAAAGAAGCAGGAGAUAACAUCUUCGUAGCAGAACUUCAGUAGCCACCUUCUCUUUUUCCUCUCGUGACAGUCGCCACUUUUUUCACCAACCCCUGGAUUAUCAUACAUUUGAUCUGCCCUCUCUCUGGAGGAAGCCUCGCGUUUCGGUUUUCCAACAACGUCUUGCCAUAUUCAACUUCCAUUACUUUAUAGAAAAAUUUUUGAGGUGGGAAGUACUGAGGGAUGGGAGGGAUUAAUUAUCAAGAAAUCUGUACUUGUUUAAUUUUGUUGGUGAAGAAGAGAAGAGGGAGGUGAAUU